UACGUAGGGUGCGAGCGUUGCCCGGAUUUAUUGGGCGUAAAGGGCGCGCAGGCGGCUACGCACGUCCGUUGUGAAAUCGCUCGGCUCAACUGGGCGGGGUCAGCGGAUACGGCGUAGCUGGAGCAAGCUAGGGGGCAAUGGAAUUCCGGGUGUAGCGGUGGAAUGCGUAAAGAUCCGGAAGAACACCGGUGGCGAAGGCGGCCUGCUGGGCAGUAGCUGACGCUGAGGCGCGACAGCGUGGGGAGCAAACAGG
rnacentral:rRNA from 1 species